UACGUAGGUCCCGAGCGUUGUCCGGAUUUAUUGGGCGUAAAGCGAGCGCAGGUGGUUUAUUAAGUCUGGUGUAAAAGGCAGUGGCUCAACCAUUGUAUGCAUUGGAAACUGGUAGACUUGAGUGCAGGAGAGGAGAGUGGAAUUCCAUGUGUAGCGGUGAAAUGCGUAGAUAUUAGGAAGAACACCAGUGGCGAAGGCGGCUUGCUGGACAGUAACUGACGUUGAGGCUCGAAAGCGUGGGGAGCAAACAGG
rnacentral:rRNA from 1 species